GUGAGGAAUAUUGGACAAUGGGCGCAAGCCUGAUGCAGCCAUGCCGCGUGUAUGAAGAAGGCCUUCGGGUUGUAAAGUACUUUCAGCGAGGAGGAAGGUGUUGAGGUUAAUAACCUCAGCAAUUGACGUUACUCGCAGAAGAAGCACCGGCUAACUCCGUGCCAGCAGCCGCGGUAAUACGGAGGGUGCAAGCGUUAAUCGGAAUUACUGGGCGUAAAGCGCACGCAGGCGGUCUGUCAAGUCGGAUGUGAAAUCCCCGGGCUCAACCUGGGAACUGCAUCCGAAACUGGCAGGCUAGAGUCUUGUAGAGGGGGGUAGAAUUCCAGGUGUAGCGGUGAAAUGCGUAGAGAUCUGGAGGAAUACCGGUGGCGAAGGCGGCCCCCUGGACAAAGACUGACGCUCAGGUGCGAAAGCGUGGGGAGCAAACAGGAUUAGAAACCCUAGUAGUCC
rnacentral:rRNA from 1 species